ACAAAAUAGAAGUUCCUAUAAUAACUCCCUCAGCUGCCCACCACCAAAUGUCUAGGCUUCCUAUGUCUGUACUGUCUUCACCCUCCUUCUUCCUGUCAACUUGGAGGAGGUGUCUCUCCUUCCAUCAAAGGUCAAUGCCUCCACUUUUGCCUUAUAUAGAAAAUUAUCUCUACUAUUGCUUUUUUCUUCUACUUAAUUAAUCUCUCUGUCUGUGCUGGAACAUUCCUAUCAGCUUAAACAUCUGAUAUAUCCCAUGCUGAAAAAAACAAAAGACGGAGGAGGAAGAGGAGGAGGAGGAGAAAGGAAAGGAAACCUGUCCUUUAAGUGCUCCUUCUAACUACCAAACCAUUUCUCUGCCCUGUGUCAUAUCCAUUUUUAUUGAAAGAGAUGUAUACACUCCACCUCUACUUCCUCACCUCUUCUUCAUUCUUCAAUAUCCUCCAAUCUCUCUCCAUUUUCAUAUCUUCAUUGGUGUGAAUUAUUAUGUCAUUAAAGUUAAUAAACUAUUUUUCUGUCUUCAUCUUAUUAGACCUCUUAGCAAUAUGCAAUGUGACAUCUAGGUUCUUCUCAAAACCCUCUUUACCUUGGCUUCUGUACCUGUUCUAUCUUCUACCACACUGGCCUACCACAAUAAUUUCAUUCUUCUUUGAUGGUCUCUUUAACUAUUGUUAUUUUUCAGAAUUUGGCUCUUCUUACGUGUUCUCAUCCAUUUCUAUGGCUUUACAUUUUUCUUUUGUGUCAGGACCCCCUUAAGCAUCAGAUUCAUGUCCACUCACCUACUUAAAUAUAUUAUAUUACCAUCUCAGUUUAGAAAGCAUCACAAGGCGACCUCAUUUGGCAUUUCAUUGCACUCAUUACAUGUGUGGAAACAUCCCUUCCAGACCAUCAUCUUCUGCUAAGUGUCCAGGGCUUGCUUAAGGCUUAUGAGUUCCUGGGAUAUUGCAAAAUGAUUUGUCUAUAUGUUCAUAUGGGGUAAGUCAGAGAAGGGUCAAACAAAAUUGAAGGACCAACAGGUGUCACUCCUGCAGAUCAGUGGCUUGGAGAAGUGCCAGAUACUACUGAAGAGAUGCUUUUAUUAGUCAUUGAUGAAAAGGACAGCUUGCAUAAUAUCAGGGCACAAGGGAUGGACAGUGAUUGCAUAAAGGUAGACCAGUGCACUUUUCAGAUGAUGACUUCUACAUGGCUUUUAGGUACCUGAGCAAUGCUCCUCACUGUGGUUCUUUGCUGAACUAGUCCCCAUUCCUGUCCAUGUGGCCCAUUCAGAUUUAGCCCUCUGACCUACACCACCAACCCUCUUCACUUCUUUGUUCCAUUUUAUCCCAGGGUAUCUCUUCUUUUCUGGCCACAGAAUGGCAUGACUGUUUGAAUACAGGGUAUGAAGAGGAGAAAAGUAAAAACCAGAUAAUAUGUCAAAUUAUUAUUCUAGCAAGAUAUCUGCAUUAGACAGCUCAUGCUGCCAUGAUGAAAUACCAUAGAUUGGGUGGUUUAAAAAACAGAAAUUUAUGUUCUCGUAGUUGUAGAGGCUAGAAAGUUCAGCAUUAAGGUCCAGGAGGGUUCAGUCUCUGGUUCUUUUUAUUUGACAAUGUAGGCUCAUUAUAGGAGCCACUGAAAACCUCACCUAAUUAAAAUUCACAGGUCAUAAAAUUUAAUUCAGUGGUAAGGCUAAUUUUCCUCUAAGCUAUUGAAUAUCAGUGAUUACUUCUUCAGUGGGAGUGAGGACAAAGACCAUUUUCAUCUCUUUUAUUGUUAAUAUAAAUUAGCCCCAACCGAAAUACUCACUUGAAAGAUGUGGAAAAUAUCGGGAGUGGCAGAUAUGUACAAACAGGGAAGAAAAUAAUUGAUGGAAUUCAGGUGCAACUCACCAACAUUAACAAUAAAACAGAGAUUUUUAGACUGAUAAAACAGACAUUUUGUAGCAACAAGAC
rnacentral:lncRNA from 1 species